CGGGUGAGUAACACGUGGAUGACCUACCUAUAAGACUGGGAUAACUUCGGGAAACCGGAGCUAAUACCGGAUAAUAUAUUGAACCGCAUGGUUCAAUAGUGAAAGACGGUUUUGCUGUCACUUAUAGAUGGAUCCGCGCCGCAUUAGCUAGUUGGUAAGGUAACGGCUUACCAAGGCAACGAUGCGUAGCCGACCUGAGAGGGUGAUCGGCCACACUGGAACUGAGACACGGUCCAG
rnacentral:rRNA from 1 species